CAUGCAAGUCGAACGGUAACAGAAAGCAGCUUGCUGCUUUGCUGACGAGUGGCGGACGGGUGAGUAAUGUCUGGGAAACUGCCCGAUGGAGGGGGAUAACUACUGGAAACGGUAGCUAAUACCGCAUAACGUCGCAAGACCAAAGAGGGGGACCUUCGGGCCUCUUGCCAUCGGAUGUGCCCAGAUGGGAUUAGCUAGUAGGUGGGGUAAAGGCUCACCUAGGCGACGAUCCCUAGCUGGUCUGAGAGGAUGACCAGCCACACUGGAACUGAGACACGGUCCAGACUCCUACGGGAGGCAGCAGUGGGGAAUAUUGCACAAUGGGCGCAAGCCUGAUGCAGCCAUGCCGCGUGUAUGAAGAAGGCCUUCGGGUUGUAAAGUACUUUCAGCGGGGAGGAAGGGAGUAAAGUUAAUACCUUUGCUCAUUGACGUUACCCGCAGAAGAAGCACCGGCUAACUCCGUGCCAGCAGCCGCGGUAAUACGGAGGGUGCAAGCGUUAAUCGGAAUUACUGGGCGUAAAGCGCACGCAGGCGGUUUGUUAAGUCAGAUGUGAAAUCCCCGGGCUCAACCUGGGAACUGCAUCUGAUACUGGCAAGCUUGAGUCUCGUAGAGGGGGGUAGAAUUCCAGGUGUAGCGGUGAAAUGCGUAGAGAUCUGGAGGAAUACCGGUGGCGAAGGCGGCCCCCUGGACGAAGACUGACGCUCAGGUGCGAAAGCGUG
rnacentral:rRNA from 1 species